rnacentral:rRNA from 1 species
GAUGAACGCUGGCGGCGUGCUUAACACAUGCAAGUCGAACGAAGCACUUUUACAGAUUUCUUCGGAAUGAAGUUUUAGUGACUGAGUGGCGGACGGGUGAGUAACGCGUGGGUAACCUGCCUCACACAGGGGGAUAACAGUUGGAAACGGCUGCUAAUACCGCAUAAGCGCACAGUACCGCAUGGUACAGUGUGAAAAACUCCGGUGGUGUGAGAUGGACCCGCGUCUGAUUAGCUAGUUGGCAGGGCAACGGCCUACCAAGGCGACGAUCAGUAGCCGACCUGAGAGGGUGACCGGGCCACAUUGGGACUGAGACACGGCCCAAACUCCUACGGGAGGCAGCAGUGGGGAAUAUUGCACAAUGGGGGAAACCCUGAUGCAGCGACGCCGCGUGAGCGAAGAAGUAUUUCGGUAUGUAAAGCUCUAGUCAGCAGGGGAAGAAGAAAUGACGGUACCU